UGGGCCCGACGUCCCAUGCUCCCGGCCGCCAUGGCGGCCGCGGGAAUUCGAUUCGUAUUACCGCGGCUGCUGGCACGUAGUUGGCCGGUGCUUCUUCUGCAGGUACCGUCACUUUCGCUUCGUCCCUGCUGAAAGAGGUUUACAACCCGAAGGCCUUCAUCCCUCACGCGGCGUCGCUGCGUCAGGCUUUCGCCCAUUGCGCAAUAUUCCCCACUGCUGCCUCCCGUAGGAGUCUGGGCCGUGUCUCAGUCCCAGUGUGGCUGGUCGUUCUCUCAAACCAGCUACGGAUCGUCGCCUUGGUGGGCUUUUACCCCGCCAACAAGCUAAUCCGACAUCGGCCGCUCCAAUCGCGCAAGGCCUUGCGGUCCCCUGCUUUCAUCUCUCGAUCUCAUGCGGUAUUAGCCAGUCUUUCGACUGGUUAUCCCCCACGACAGGACACGUUCCGAUGUAUUACUCACCCGUUCGCCACUCGCCACCAGGGUUGCCCCCGUGCUGCCGUUCGACUUGCAUGUGUAAGGCAUGCCGCCAGCGUUCAAUCUGAGCCAUGAUCAAACUCUAAUCACUAGUGAAUUCGCGGCCGCCUGCAGGUCGACCAUAUGGGAGAGCUCCCAACGCGUUGGA
rnacentral:rRNA from 1 species